rnacentral:tRNA from 1 species
GCGGGUUUAGCUCAGUUGGGAGAGCGUCAGACUGAAGAUCUGAAGGUCAUGUGUUCAAUCCACAUAAACCGCA